GGAAGGGCUGUAACGCAGUGGUAGAGUAUCCACUGUCAGUGCUUUGUAUGCAGAAGGUCCCAGGUUCAAUUCCUGGCAUUUCCA